CUCAGCAGGUAGCAGAAUCUCAGGGCAGUUGUCACUUCAAAAAGGAGCCAGCCAAGUCGGAAAGCUGCACCACAGCUGGCCCCACCUCAGUGGCCACAAGGUUUGUACCAGCCCUCUUCAGGCUGGGGGAGGCUACACUGUCCCCUCUUCUUGAAUCCUGGGAUUACAGCAUGUACCGUUGUACCCAGUUUUAUGCCAUGCUAAAGACUGAACCCACGGCUGCGAGCAUGAGCAUGCCAGGCAACCACUCCACCAGCUGAGUAACUACAUCCUCCCUGUCUAGGGCUUUAAAUCAUACCGACUGACUAAAGUCAAGACCCUCCUGCCUCUGCCUCCUGAGAACGGGAUUAAAGGUUCGUGCCUUUAAUCCUGACUCAGAAUUCUUAGCGUUCAUUAGGUGUGGACUUUUGAUAAAAAUGUCCCACUUAUGGUAGUGUCUCCUCCCAGGCCUCUCAGCUUGGGAAGUGCUCCUCAGUUGGCAAAUGGAGGCACUGAGUCUUGGGAAGGGGUGGAGACUUAUUCCAGGUCACUCAGCAAGCCUGAUGCCCCAGCUGAGGCCCGGAUUCUAGACUCCUCCCUCUCCUGGCUGACCUCUGCCUCUGGGCUUCUUGCCAGCCACAAGCACUAAGGCCAAGCAGGACACACAGCCAUCUUAGUGCGGGCUCCCAGGCAGAAGCCAACACAUUUAGCACACUUCUUUCUUAACCUGGUUGGGUGGCUUUUAGCAGCCCAAAUAUAUACAUGGGGAAACUGAAGUUCAAAGAGGGCAAGAACUUUGCCUAACGAGAUAAGGGGUCGCCUUAGAAUGAGCAGAAUGUCCAAAAUGAGCCAUCGGGAGGAAGAAAGCGGGGCCACAGGGAGGAAGGAGAAUUACAUCGCCGUAAACAAUGAACAAUGUUUUCGGGUGUGUUCAAGAGCACCCGGAACUGGCCCCAUGCCAGAGAAAAGUCAGAGGAAGCAAACAAAUCCUUUGCAAAACCCAAAGCCAACUGUGGUUCCCCCAAUUCUGCUUAGGGGUAGGGCAGGAGGUCCUAUAGGGCGAUCCUAUAGGUUGGCUAUCAACCAAUUGGAUCCCUGGUGUGAGUGCUCUGGCCAAUAGGGACUGGAGCUGGCAUUUACACCUUGUAAGGUGGACUGUAGCAGCCCAAGGAUCACCAGGAAGGAGCCAGGGAUCCGUUGGGUUCUGUCAGUUAAAACUUUGCAUAACGGCCUCAGCCACAGACGUGAGCUAGUUCUGGAGAAAGGAUGACGUAAGGGUCCUGGAACAAUGGGAAGCCAGGGACAAAGGAUGGUGUUGUGCGUGGUUGCACAAGGACCCUGAUGGGUCACAUCAGGAUCACAUCCCGUGUCUGAGCUGGCCCAGUCGGUUUGUUCCUGGCAAGUGCAUUCAUGUGUAGGUGUUGAGAUGGAUUCCUGUUUGUGUGCCUGUACUCAGAAACAUGCCUCCCAGUCAUUCACUCAGCCAGUCUGGCGGUGUGCGUUGAGAGCCGGCGGGCGCUAAGCCUUGUCCUGGGCCAUGGACUGAGGUCAGGAGAACAGAAAGCGCAGCAGAAAGUGCACAACCGGCCUCAGUUUCCCUGUCUCCAAAACAAGACACUUUGUCUCAAACUUCUGGAGGUGCCUCUGAGUAGAAGUGUCUGUGGUGUAUUAGGCUGUGAGCACUCCUUGUCUGUCAAGCCUGCAUCUCUACCUCAGACUCCUGGACAGGGGCUGGGAAGGAGACCGGGAACCGGAGAGCCUGGGUGGUUGGGUGGCAAUGGGCUCGGGUUGCAAGCUGGCCUGGCCUGCCAGCUGGCUUGUCCUCAGCCCCUCAGUGUGCCUUUGUCCUUCCCUGGUCAUUGCUCAGGGUCCCUACUUGGCUCAGAGCAGUCUCAUCUGACCUUGGACUCACCGUGUGAACCUCCAGCUUGACCCCUAGGCAUGCUGGGAUCCUGGAAUACCAAGCGAAGUUCAGAUACCAGCAUUUUCCAUCUGUCUUAUCUCAGGCAAGCUUUUUACUCUCCCCUGUGAAACGAGGGAGAGAUACCCACCCCUCCAGCUAACGGGAUGAGAAAUGGCUUGUACGUUAAGCAUUCUGCUUCGAAAUGAGCAAAGCUGUUAUUACAGACCCCUGAUGAGUCUCUGUCCCACCUUUGGGGGUGGGUGAUAAAGGCAACAGACCCAGCAAACCUUGGAGCCUGCUCAGCUCCGCCUCUCUCUGGAUGGAAGACUUCAAGCAAAUCCCUUCCUUUGCGGACCUCCUCUUCCUCGCAGAAGCAGAGGCUGGGGGCCUUUUGCCUUCUGUCUCCCGGGCCUCUGAGCAUUUUGCCUCAGGAGGUAUUGCCUGAAUGACCUGUUCCAUUAAAGCAUUUCCUGACCAAGACUGAUUUAAGCAAUUCUGGUUAGUUCUGGAAAUUCCAGACAGUAAGGGAAAACCUGAAGAGCUUCUGGGCGGGGCUCACAUCUCUCUUUCCCUCCUUCCAGAAGCACCCCCUCCCUCAAGUGAUGGGGAUGAUACGAAGGAUGAGAAGGGAUCCUGUUUGCCUCUGAGUGGAGUGGGGUGGGGCCUUUGUUGGUCCCUGGCCCCCUAAAACCAUUGCAGCCCUCAUGGGGGUGAAAGGAAGAAAGCACGAGUGGAACUCAUGGGGAGCGAGCCAUCUUGAGUCUGGCAGGCCUGGAUUAAGAAUCUGGGGCCCCACUGGGUGUGUGGUGGCACACACACAGCACUCUGGAAGCAGAGGCAGGCAGAUCUCUGUGAGUUCAAGGCCAGCCUGGUCUACAGAGUGAGUUCCAGGACAGCCAGAGCUAUGCAGAGAGACCAUGUUUAAAACAAAAACAAACACCCUCCCCCAAACAAACAAAUAACGAAGGAGAAUAAGUAAAUAAAGAUGAAGACAGGAUGCUGGCCUCCCACCCACUGCCUUCUUCUCAGUCAGUUGUCCAGUGUGUGUCUGACUCACUCCCCUUCGCCCUACCUCCUUCACACUGUGGCGCCUGCCCAGCUUGACUGCUGUCCCCAAGGAGAAUCCAGAGAAAACAUUAACCCGAAGCCAUGGAGUGCAUCUAUGGAGUUCCAAGGUAUGCAACCCCAGAGUCUCAGCCCGUGGGAAGCCAAGCCAAGUAGACAAACCAGUGUAGACAGGCUGGUGGUCAGCUCUGUCAUCAGACAGCUUUGCUCACUUCCCCAGGCCUUGCGUCCACACGUUGCAAACAGUGGGACUGUGAGGAACGAGUAGGUGCUCAGGUGCCUGGAGACAGAGGUGUCUUUAGUUCCUCGGUCACCUCCCACCCACCUCGAGACCUUUAAAAGCCUGCAGUUGCCAGCACUCAGAAGAAAGGCUGUGACACCCGGACACCGAUGUGUGCAUAAACCCAGCACCAGGGAGGCCAAGGCAGGAAGAGAACCGCUCAGA